rnacentral:rRNA from 1 species
AUUGAACGCUGGCGGCAGGCCUAACACAUGCAAGUCGAGCGAGCGGCGGACGGGUGAGUAAUGUAUGGGGACUGCCCGAUAGAGGGGGAUAACUACUGGAAAUGGUAGCUAAUACCGCAUACUAUCGGAUAACCCAUAUGGGAUUAGCUAGUAGGGGAGGUAAUGGCUCACCUAGGCGACGAUCCCUAGCUGGUCUGAGAGGAUGAUCAGCCACACUGGGACUGGAACACGGCCCAGACUCCUACGGGGGGAGCAGUGGGGAAUAUUGCACAAUGGGCGAAAGCCAGAUGCAGCGACGCCGCGUGGGGGAUGAAGGCUUUCGGGUUGUAAACCUCUUGCGCUAUCGAACGGGUAGGUGGAGAAGAAGCGCCGGCUAACUACGUGCCAGCAGCCGCGGUAAUU